rnacentral:pre_miRNA from 1 species
UGUGUACUCCCUUUGUCCCAAAAUACUUGACUUCCAUUUGUCCAAAAAUGGAUGUACCUAUAUACUAAAACAUGUCUAGAUACAUAUAUAUUUUGACAAAUAGAAGGCAUGUAUUGUGCAAUGGAGGGAGUAGAAU